AUGAUCGCUAACGGUAAGCAUCGAAAGAAGAGGAUCUUUCAGCUUGAGCAAGAUGAGGGUAUGAUUGUAGGACAGGAAAACCUAAAAUUGUACAUUACCAAGUAUUACAAGCAGCUGUUUGGCCCUCCAGAAGAGAACUGUGUGUCUCUGGACGAGUCAAGGGUUGAGGAUAUUCCUCAGCUCACAGCGGUGGAGAAUGAUAUUCUUACAGCUCCUUUCUCGGAGAAAGAGGUGCUGGAGGCCAUCGCGCAAAUGAAGAAUAACAAAGCACCGGGUCCUGAUGGUUUCCCAGCUGAAUUUUAUAAGAAGUGCUGGCAUAUCAUUAAAGGGGAUUUGUUGCCUAUGUUUAAUGAUUUGUUUGCUGGACAGCUUCAUAUUUUUCAACUCAAUUUUGGAACGAUUACCCUUCUUCCUAAGAAAACAAAGGCUGUGAAAAUUGAGCAAUUCAGGCCAAUCUGUCUUCUUAAUGUUAGUUCCAAAAUUUUCACCAAGGUCGGGACCAAUAGACUCACACAGAUUGCGCAUACUAUUGUGCAGCCUACCCAAUCUUCUUUCAUGCCGGACAGGAAUAUCCUUGAGGGGUUAGUGGUCCUUCAUGAAACGCUCCAUGAAAUCCACACGAAAAAACUGGAUGGGGUUGUUUUCAAAGUGGAUUUCGAAAAAGCGUACGACAAAGUCAAAUGGCCAUUCCUUCAACAGGCCUUGCGUAUGAAGGGUUUUGAUGAGGCUUGGCGACGCCAGGUAGAAUCCUUUACGCAAAAAGGGAGUGUUGGAAUUAAAGUAAAUGAUGAUAUUGGGCACUAUUUCCAAACACACAAGGGUCUGAGGCAAGGAGAUCCAAUGUCCCCUGUUUUGUUCAACAUUGUGGUUGACAUGUUGGCAAUUCUAAUAGGUCGGGCAAAGGAGGCCGGUCAGGUGGGAGGCCUGGUGCCCAACCUAGUUGAUGGGGGGUGUCCAUUCUGCAGUACGCUGAUGAUACAAUCAUCUUUAUGGAGCAUGACCUGGCAAAAGCGAGAAAUAUGA
rnacentral:rRNA from 1 species